rnacentral:rRNA from 1 species
AUGUUGAGUAAGGUAGCAGGAGAUCUAAAGGACUGGGAGACUAAUGUUUUAGGUGAUCUGGAGAAAAGAAUCAAAAUGUUAAAAAAGGAGCUAGAAGAGGUGCGAAGAGGAGACAUUACCCAAGAAAGGGUUAACAGAGAGCACUUUUUGAGGGAGAAGUUGGACAGAUUGGAGCACCAAAAAGAUACGCACUGGAAACAACGGGCCCAUGUCAAAUGGUUACAUGAUGGGGAUAAGAACACAUCAUUUUUUCACGCCUUUGCAUCUGAAAGGAGGAAAAGGAACACCAUCAAGAGGCUGAAAAGGGAGGACGAGGAACCUUUGAAAGAGCACAUUGCAAAUUACUUUUUUAACAUCUUCUCUUCCAUGGCUGGAAAGGAUAAUGAAGAAAUUCUACACGUGGUUCAACCAAGGGUGACAAAAGAGAUGAAUGAUAUACUGCGUGCUGAGUAUACAGAGGAGGAGGUGAAACGGGCCUUAGACAACAUAGGUGACCUGAAAGCACCAGGACCUGAUGGUAUGCCAGCCAUAUUCUUUAAAAGAUUUUGGCAAAUUGUUGGGAACCAGGUCACAAAGGAGGUUCUUCAAAUAUUGAGAGGAGGAGAAAUGCCUGAAGGGUGGAAUGAUACGCUAAUAGUAUUAAUUCCGAAGAAUGCCAACCCAGCAAGCAUAAAGGAUUUGAGACCAAUCAGUUUGUGUAAUGUGGUGUAUAAGCUGGUCUCCAAGGUAAUCACAAACAGGCUUAAGAGGAGAAGAAGCGGCUUGAUGGGCUAUGCAGCUGUCAAAUUGGAUAUGAGCAAAGCCUAUGAUCGUGUUGAAUGGACAUUUUUAAAAGAUAUGAUGCAACGGCUAGGCUUUAAGCGGUGUUGGAUUGAACUGAUAAUGCGUUGUGUCUCAACUGUUAAGUACCAGAUCAAGGUGAAUCACGACACAACUGAAAUAAUUACACCUCAAAGAGGCUUGCGCCAAGGAGAUCCACUCUCUCCAUACUUGUUCCUCAUAUGCGCAGAGGGGUUAUCUGCCAUGUUACAUGAAGCUGAGAUGAGGGGGUCACUGGGGGGGAUUAAGAUCUGUAGAGAAGCGCCCAGUGUAAGUCACUUGUUGUUUGCAGAUGACUCAUUGCUACUCAUGGAGGCUAAAGCUGAGAGUGCCCAUGAAGUUAACAAAAUAUUGAACUCCUAUGAAACUGCUUCAGGCCAAAUGAUUAACAAAGACAAGUCCUCAAUAUUAUUCAGCACAAACACAAGUCAAGAGAUGAAGAAGGAAAUGAGAAGUAUUCUACAGAUUAAGUCGAAAGGUUUAACCUCGAAAUAUCUAGGUGUUCCAUCCUACGUGGGUAAAGCCAGAGCGAGAUGCUUUGAAUAUAUGAAAUAG